rnacentral:rRNA from 1 species
AUGCCUGCCACGGCAGUGAAAAGCGCUGCCAUGGCAGCAAAUUCGCCCGCACCCAAAAGUCCUGCUACGACAGCCGAAAACGCUGCCAUGGCAGGGAAUUCACCAUGCACAGCCUCUACAGCAGAAAAAAAACCCUGCCAUGGCAGCAGAAAACGCUGCCAUGGCAGUGUCAUCUCCAACAUCCACGACUCUCGACGAUGUACACUUGAUGAGCUCUGGCAAGAGGCAAUGAGCGAUGAGCUCGCGUUGAUCGAGGAGAAUGACACAUGGUCUCUUACUGAUUUGCCUGCAUGUCAAAAACCGAUCGGUCUCAAAUGGGUGUUCAAGCUCAAACGCGACGCCGGCAGCAAUUUGGUGAAGCACAAGGCCUGUCUAGUCACAAAGGGGUACGUCAAGCGGCCGGGGAUCGACUUUGAUGAAGUCUUUGCUCCGGUGGCCAGUCUGGACUCCGUUCGACUCCUGCUCGCUGUCGCCGCUCAGUUCAAGUGGCAAGUUCACCAAAUGGACAUGAAGAAUGCGUUCCACAUGGACAUAUUUCUUGUUUAA